AGAGUUUGAUCCUGGCUCAGAACGAACGCUGGCGGCGUGCCUAACACAUGCAAGUCCAACGUGAAAGGGGAGCAAUCCCCCGGUAGGGUGGCAAACGGGUGAGUAAUACAUGGUGAUCUACCUUAGGGAUGGGGAUAUCCUUCCGAAAGGAGGGGCAAUACCGAAUAUUGUCCGGAGCCAUGAAGGGUUCCGGGGAAAGGGAGGCCUCUGAUACAAGCUUUCGCCUUAAGAUGAGCCCAUGGCCCAUCAGCUAGUUGGUAGGGUAAAGGCCUACCAAGGCUACGACGGGUCGCUGGUCUGAGAGGACGACCAGCCACACUGGCACUGAGAUACGGGCCAGACUCCUACGGGAGGCAGCAGUGAGGAAUAUUGCGCAAUGGGGGAAACCCUGACGCAGCAACGCCGCGUGUGGGAAGAAGGCCUUCGGGUCGUAAACCACUUUUGCACGGGACGAAAAAGGGAUAUCGAACAAAUAUCCCCGAUGACGGUACCGUGAGAAUAAGCCACGGCUAACUCUGUGCCAGCAGCCGCGGUAAGACAGAGGUGGCAAGCGUUGUUCGGAAUUACUGGGCGUAAAGAGUCUGUAGGUGGUUUGUCAAGUCUUUGGUGAAAGGCCGUAGCUUAACUAUGGGAAUGCCAAAGAGACUGGCAGGCUGGAGGCUGGGAGAGGGAAGCGGAAUUUCUGGUGUAGCGGUGAAAUGCGUAGAUAUCAGAAGGAAGGCCGGUGGCGAAGGCGGCUUCCCGGAACAGUCCUGACACUGAGAGACGAAAGCGUGGGGAGCAAACAGGAUUAGAUACCCUGGUAGUCCACGCCCUAAACGAUGGGUACUAAGUGUGGAGGGGUUAAACCCUCCGUGCCGCAGCAAACGCAGUAAGUACCCCGCCUGGGGAGUACGGCCGCAAGGUUGAAACUCAAAGGAAUUGACGGGGGCCCGCAC
rnacentral:rRNA from 1 species